UACGUAGGGGCUAGCGUUGUCCGGAAUCAUUGGGCGUAAAGAGCGCGUAGGCGGCUAGAUAAGUCCGGUGUGAAAGUCACAGGCUCAACCUGUGAAUGCCGCUGGAAACUGUCUGGCUAGAGUCCGGAAGGGGCGAGUGGAAUUCCUGGUGUAGCGGUGAAAUGCGCAGAUAUCAGGAGGAACACCAAUGGCGAAGGCAGCUCGCUGGGACGGUACUGACGCUGAGGCGCGAAAGCAUGGGGAGCGAACGGG
rnacentral:rRNA from 1 species